GAUGAACGCUGGCGGCGUGCCUAAUACAUGCAAGUCGAGCGAACAGACGAGGAGCUUGCUCCUCUGACGUUAGCGGCGGACGGGUGAGUAACACGUGGAUAACCUACCUAUAAGACUUGGAUAACUUCGGGAAACCGGAGCUAAUACCGGAUAAUAUAUUGAACCGCAUGGUUCAAUAGUUAAAGACGGUUUUGCUGUCACUUAUAGAUGGAUCCGCGCCGCAUUAGCUAGUUGGUAAGGUAACGGCUUACCAAGGCGACGAUGCGUAGCCGACCUGAGAGGGUGAUCGGCCACACUGGAACUGAGACACGGUCCAGACUCCUACGGGAGGCAGCAGUAGGGAAUCUUCCGCAAUGGGCGAAAGCCUGACGGAGCAACGCCGCGUGAGUGAUGAAGGUCUUCGGAUCGUAAAACUCUGUUAUUAGGGAAGAACAAAUGUGUAAGUAACUAUGCACGUCUUGACGGUACCUAAUCAGAAAGCCACGGCUAACUACGUG
rnacentral:rRNA from 1 species